rnacentral:rRNA from 1 species
GAUGAACGCUGGCGGCGUGCUUAACACAUGCAAGUCGAACGAGAAAUGGAGACGGAAACCUUCGGGCGGAAGGCUUCAUUUCGAGUGGCGGACGGGUGAGUAACGCGUGGGUAACCUGCCUCAUACAGGGGGAUAACAGUUGGAAACGACUGUUAAUACCGCAUAAGACCACAGCACCGCAUGGUGCGGGGGUAAAAACUCCGGUGGUAUGAGAUGGACCCGCGUUCGAUUAGCCAGUUGGCGGGGUAACGGCCCACCAAAGCGACGAUCGAUAGCCGAUCGGAGAGGAGGACCGGCCACAGUGGGACUGAGACACGGCCCAGACUCCGCCGGGAGGCAGCAGUGGGGAAUAUUGCAAAAUGGGGGAAACCCUGAUGCAGCAACGCCGGGUGAGGGAAGAAGUACUUCGGUAUGUAAAGCUCUAGCACAAGGGAAGAAAAGGACGUUACCGGAGAAAGAAGCCCCGGCUAACUCCGUG